GAUGAAGAACGUAGUGAAAUGCGAUACGUAAUGUGAAUUGCAGAAUUCAGUGAAUCAUCGAAUCUUUGAACGCAUAUUGCGCUCUUUGGUAUUCCGAAGAGCAUGCUUGUUUGAGUAUCAGUAAACACCUCAAAGUCUUUUUUUUUUCUUGAAGAAAAAGACCUUGGACUUGAGCAAUCCCAACUCUUCUUUCAGAAGAGGCGGGUUGCUUGAAAUGCAGGUGCAGCUGGACAUUCUCCUGAGCUAAAAGCAUAUUCAUUUAGUCCCGUCAAACGGAUUAUUACUUUUGCUGCAGCUAACAUAAAGGGAGUUUGACCAUUUUGGCUGACUGAUGCAGGAAUUUCACAAGAGUCUUCAAAACGCUCUUGUUAAACUCGAUCUCAAAUCAAGUAAGACUACCCGCUGAACUUAAGCAUAUCAAUAAGCGGAGGA
rnacentral:misc_RNA from 1 species